rnacentral:miRNA from 1 species
CAACGUCUUGGAGAGCGCUACU